rnacentral:pre_miRNA from 1 species
AGUGGGAUAGCUGGGUCAAAUGAUGGUUCCAUUCCUAAUUUUCCAAGGAAUCUCCAUAGUGCUUUCCAAAUUGGCUGCACCAAUUUGCAGUCCCACCAGCAAU